rnacentral:tRNA from 1 species
GUGCCCGUAGCUCAGUUGGAUAGAGCGUUGGACUCCGACUCCAAAGGCAGUGCGUUCGAAUCGCAUCGGGCAUACCA